UACGUAGGGGGCAAGCGUUGUCCGGAUUUAUUGGGCGUAAAGAGCGUGUAGGCGGCUUGGUAGGUCCGCUGUGAAAACUCGAGGCUCAACCUCGAGAUGUCGGCGGAAACCACUUGGCUAGAGUCCGGAAGAGGAGACUGGAAUUCCCGGUGUAGCGGUGAAAUGUGUAGAGAUCGGGAGGAACACCGGUGGCGAAGGCGGGUCUCUGGGCAACUCCUGACGCUGAGGCGCGAAAGCGUGGGGAGCAAACGGG
rnacentral:rRNA from 1 species